rnacentral:lncRNA from 1 species
AACAUCCGUCAGGUCAUGUUACUUCUUCGUAUAAAACCCUUCGGGAAUUCCUUAUUGUGUGAGGAUGAAGAGAAAGCUACUUUGCAUGGACACACUAAGCUCUCUUUUAGCUGCCUCCUCAUAUUUCACUCUGCUUCUCCCCUGAAGCCUCUUGCCCUGAAACUUGAUGCUUCCUCUUUACAAAGUGAUUUGUAGUUUAUGAUCCAAUUCUGCAAAUCAAAUUGUGUCUCUGAGCCCAUGUUUUCUUAGUUUGCAUUCCCAUAUUCAUUCUUCACAACCCAAGUCAAGCAUCACCUCCUCUAUGUCACACUGAGAGUUAUUUCUGAGCUGGUCUAUCACCAUGUAGUAUGUAGACUGCAAAACUACGAUAAAACUUUUUUCCAAAAUAUGACUUGGAGAAAAUGAAUCACCUUAUAUUUGAAUUCCUUAUACCACAACAUCAUUUUCCAGUUUACUAUUUAUUCAGUUACUAUUUUGAAAACAAAAAUUUGAAGGGGAAACAUUUAUUUGAAAGAACUUUAAUCAUUUCUGACUUGAGAUGGUUUAUAGGUCACCUAAUAGAAUUCAUUUUAAAAAAGAAUUUAAAAAAUCACUUUAUGAUAGCAUAAAAUUUCAAGCAGUUAUUCAAAAAUUUAAGACUUCUCUGUUACCAGUGGAUACUAACAAAAAUGACCUAUUUAAAGAUAGAUCGCUUUUUGAAGUCGCAAAUAAAGUAUUAUACAGGUAAAACACAUACCUCAAGAAUAACUGAAAAAAAGCAUGAGAAAUAAAACAGUCCUUCUAAUGUGAUGGCUUGGGAUAAAUUUCCAGUGACAAGAUUAUUUAAAUGCUGUAUUUCAGAAAAUAGGAAGAAAUGAAGAUGAUGUGCUUUUGGAAAACUGUGUUAGUUGCCUCAUAAAGCAGUUGCCAUGAUGACCAGACAGUGAUGUCUAGAAUUCACAUGAAAGAUUGAAGAAAAUCGCUUCAUAAAAUAGGAGUGGAGAAAAAAACAUAAUGUUAUACUAAAAUAUUAUUGUAUAUAGUGCUACUUGAGUGUGUUCACAAAACAAAUGGCUUAUUUGUGUAUUAGAAGUAUGCAUUUAUCUACCUCCUUUCAGGAUAUAAAAAAUAUUUUUAUUGCUUUUUCUUAUGUGGAAUAAGGAAAUUUUCUUAUAGUCUCAUACCUUAUUUUUUGGACAUAUGCAAUACUUUUUUUUAAGGCUCUUUUAUUUUGUUUUAAUUUUUAUCAUUCUCUUUUCUUAAUACACCAUUAAUUUCUUGAUGAACAGAAAAUAUAAACUACAUAAGGAAAGGCUAUCUUGUCAGUAAAUUGCAUUAUCACCAUGGUCUUGAACAGUUCUGAGCUUAGAGUGGGUAACGCUAGAAAAGAUCAUGAAAUCACAGCAUCUUCAGCCACUUCACACACUUUAUACAGUGUUUAACACUCAGUAAACAAUUAGUUAUUUCUUCCCAGUAGGAAUAUAUUAUUAUAGUGAAUAAUUAAUAAAUGAAUAUCAUACAGUAGCUGAGCAGAGGAAAUCUGAAUCAAACCCAAUUUGUUUCAGGCUAAAUCUCAUGGUAUUUCCAUUGCCUCUGAAAAAACAGAAAGUUGGUAGUUAUUUCUAUCUUUGAAUGGGGGUAGUAGCUUGACAGAGAAAAUACCAUGAUUUUAAAAAGGCUGAAUUGAAAUUUUCUCCAGUUCCUUAAUAAUGACUUACUUACAUACUAAUUUUUAUUUACCAGCCUAAUUUUAGGUCAAUAGUUCUUAGCUGAGUGGGCAUUCCCAGAGCAUAUGCUGCUCUUGAGGUAGAAGUAGACAUUAAAUGCUUGAGUCUGAAUAACUAGUUUUUACUCUCCCAGACAGAGUCUACUGAGGACUUAUAAAAUAAGAAAAUUUACCCCUGGAUAGCCAAAAUAAAAGGUCUUUAGGUAAAGAACUUCAUUAAAGCAUUCAUUUUCUUCAACCACUCCGUCUGUAGCUUAGCCUGUCAGACUAACUAAAUUGCUGACAAUGAAACACUGAACCAGCCUUAGUCUAUCCUUUUGGAAAUAGAAUCCCUUGAUUAGAAGCAGGUAUCCAGUGUCAAUUCUAUUAAGACUCACAACAGUCUGUAGUCAGUCUUUUUGAUUCUGAGAUCCGAAUAGUCCCAUACUAAACUCUUUGUGUCUAGAGACAAGUCAAAAGAAAGAUCUUUGCUGAGUCAUUAUAUUAAAUCUUGAUAGCUAUUAAGAAAAACAUAAUGAAUGAUUGUUUCCUGAAAGUAUUUUAUACUUAUAAUACCCUUUUUUGUUCAUGUAUUCACAUGAUUAAUUAAAAAAAAAAAAAACUUGAGUUUUCUUUGAAGCUUAAAACCUAUAGAGAUGUCUCCUUCCUUUACAUUCGUACUAUCAAAUGUUUGUCUCUCUCAUGAUAUAAUAAGGUAACACCACCUCAUUUAUCUCCCAUUGUUUUGUAGUUAACAUCCAUAUACAACUAGUUACAAGAGAGUGAAAAGACUGUACUCAUGUAAUCACCUGUGCUUUUUACUAAGGAAUUCAUAAGCCGUUCUUCAUCUUAAUCAAUAGAGUUUGUCAGGUGUCUUCUAACUAUUCUCAUUGUUGUGGUUUGUGCUUGGCCUAAGCAAAUGGCUGCAGAAGACUAUCUCUGCAUUUGAUUGAUUUAUGUUUACACCAAUUAUAAUACAAGGGCCUGCUAUCAUUUUCUGUUGCUGGUGGUGUUUCGCAGUCUCUUUUUGAAAAAUACCAUAUUGCCUAUUCAAAUAAAAAGCCUUGGUAUAUCUUCCUUUACUUAGGGUCUCUGUGAUAUCAGUUACUUGGCAAAAUUCUCAGUUUUAGGGUUCUGGGUAUUUUAGAAAUAUACCUCUUCUUUGAUCAGAUACCUUUGUUGUCAAGUGGCUCAGAGCUUAAAUUCCUGGUAGGGAUCUGAGAGAAAAGAUACCCUCAUAAACUGUUGAAUAACAUAAGAUUUAUUUUUAUUCUUGUUCCCUGUGUCAUGGACUGCCUUUCCCUUACCUAAUGCUAUUUUAUAUUUCUUCCCAAAUACAGAACACGUUUAACCCUCCCUCAGGGAGGAGAAAAGUCCCAUACAGUCACUUCAUCCAGCUCAAAAUCUAUCUUCUCUACCAGAUUUUGAGGCUUCCUUUGGUAUAUAGAACUACAGACUAAAAUUACUUUUCCUGUCCUCCUCUUCAAACUUCUAUACCAAAUAUACAAUGGUGAAACAGGGUCAAAACUUCUCUUUUCAUUAGGAGUAAAAAACUGAUGGAAUAUACAGACUUCAGUGGUUUUAAGCAAUUCUCUUUUCAAGAGAAGGAAAAUGUCAUUCAUGAUUUUACCAAUCCUAUUUAAAACAGCUUCUAAUUUAUGGUACUGCCACUUCAACUAUAUUUUAUGUGUGGCUUUACUCAAUUUGAAGAUUUUCUGCACAUUACUUUGGAUUCUAUUUUUACUUGCUUUUUAAAAUUGAAUGUUUUAAUAAAUUUUCUGUUCAUAGAGCUUGAUAAUUAAGAGAAAGAUAGCAUAAUUGCUAUGACAGGAAAACAGAUAUUUGUAUUAAAUUUUUAAAAAGUUUAAGUAACAUUGAGAUUAAAAGUUCUGAGGUGCAGAGAUAGUGUCAAAUGUUCUGGUAUUUACUCACUUUUCUGUGGAUUCUGAAAAUUCUAUUUCUGUAUUUGCAAGUGUAGUUGCUAUUUUUUGGUCACUUGCAUUCAGGUGAAUCAGGAACAAUGUUUUUUACCCACAAGGAAAAUUCUGGGAUCAAAUGACUUCAUGAGUGAAUCCUACCCAAUAUUGGAUUAAGAAAUGAUACCAAUGUUACAAAGUCUUUUAUAAUUUAAGUAAACUGAAUGCAUUGAAAAGGGAAUAUAAUAUUAGUUUAACCUUCAAGUCUCAAUCAAUUCAUCAUAUUAAUAGCAUAAAGAAGAAACAUCAUGUUCAUAUUUAUAAUCAUAUAAAAAUUUGAAAUUUUCAACAUCUAUGCAUUUUUUAAUUAGAAAACCUUAUUAAUAGUUUAUGAUAUUUUAGAUAUAAAGUUAUGACUCAUGCACUUUUAUAUGUUUGCUAUACUUCCUUUAAAAAAUUUUACAAUAUGAAGAAUAAUGAAAUAUGUUCAGUUGUGAGUCACUCAACUUUUAGUUUUUGUAUAUUUUUAAGUUCAAGCAGGAUAAAAAUAUAUUGCCACACUACUCACAUUAUCUUAUCUUUCAUUGUUUUAGAAAGAUUUAGACUUUAUUAGUCUUCAUAAAAUAUCAAUACAAAAGUCAAGUUGAGAGCAAAGAAAAUUGUUUCAAGUUUAAUUAUAUACUGAAUGUUUAUAUAAAUGAAAUAAGAAUAUUUCAUCAAAGCCACUCAUAACAGGUAGAUUCUUUCAGAGCUGGCACUGGAAUAUAUUAAUUAAAUAGAUCUCACAAAAUCAGAAUAUACUAAGAAAUAGGUUUUAUUGGAGACUGGGAAAAAUGAAGCUUAAUGUAGAUAUCCACCUAAGUGCCCAUGCUCCUCAUCACCCCAGGGAAUAUGUUUCAGAUCAGGGUAGCAGUGAGUUUAGUUGUAGGGGGAACUCUCCUCUCUAUGCUUCUUCUUCCAUUGAGGCAGUGGGAGAAAAUGGCCUUGUCAAAGCAGAAUAUGCCAGCUAUUUGGUGCUUGACAGUCAGGAUAUGGAUGUUAGAGCUUCUAAAAUUAUAUGGGAAGGGUAGCGCUCAGUAUCUGCAGAUCUUGGGUAGCUGGGGUUCUUAAGUAUAUGGAAUGUUACAGUCUCCCUGGGUGAAGAGAAAAAGCCAUGAACCUCACAUAAAACUGAAUUGGAUUUUGUUCUCUCAUCUUGGGAGAAGAGGGCUUAGGGCUAAGUCUGCCCUGGCAAUUGAUGGUAAGUUUCCAGUCUAAUUUUCAGGCAAUUUCCUCUUGCAAUAAAAGCAAUGUUUUAUAAAAUCAUCUCUUUCAACUACAUAUAUGUAUAUAUAUAUAUAAAGACAUAACACUUUGCAUACAGUAGCCACUUAUAAAAUAAUGGAAUGUAUCCACUUUUUGAAGAAGGAAAAAAAAAAGAAAGAACAUGACAGAUGUCAUGACUCACUGUCAGGAGUAACUCCCUCCAAACCAGCGAUUUGUUCUUUUAUCAAGCUUAGUAAAGGUGAAUUAAGCACUGUAAUGUUAAUGAAAAUGCUGAAGAAAAUUGUUCUCUUCUUGUAUCAGGAAUGAAACAAAAAACAAUAAUUAUCCAUUAUUUACUUGUUUUGCUCUUAAAAAGCAUAUUGCAUUCUUAGGCUCCUGACUAAAUAAAAUAGGUAAAAAGGCAGAAC